rnacentral:rRNA from 1 species
AGAGUUUGAUCCUGGCUCAGGACGAACGCUGGCGGCGUGCUUAACACAUGCAAGUCGAACGGUGAAGCCUUUCGGGGUGGAUCAGUGGCGAACGGGUGAGUAACACGUGAGUAAUCUGCCUCUGACUCUGGGAUAACCACGGGAAACGGUGGCUAAUACCGGAUAUGACACAUGGUCGCAUGGUCUGUGUGUGGAAAGUUUUUCGGUCAGAGAUGAGCUCGCGGCCUAUCAGCUUGUUGGUGGGGUAAUGGCCUACCAAGGCGACGACGGGUAGCCGGCCUGAGAGGGCGACCGGCCACACUGGGACUGAGACACGGCCCAGACUCCUACGGAAGGCAGCAGUGGGGAAUAUUGCGCAAUGGGCGAAAGCCUGACGCAGCGACGCCGCGUGAGGGAUGAAGGCCUUCGGGUCGUAAACCUCUUUCAGCAGGGAAGAAGCGCAAGUGACGGUACCUGCAGAAGAAGCACCGGCUAACUACGUG